GAUGCAUGUGGUCAGACCUAG
rnacentral:miRNA from 1 species